rnacentral:rRNA from 1 species
AAGCAACGCGAAGAACCUUACCUGGUCUUGACAUCCGGAUGCCGUAUGGGCAAUGCCAUACUUCCUUCGGGACGUCCGAGACAGGUGGUGCAUGGUUGUCGUCAGCUCGUGUCGUGAGAUGUUGGGUUAAGUCCCGCAACGAGCGCAACCCCUAUUUCCAGUAGCCAGCAGGUGAGGCUCGUGAUUGGGACUAAGUCGUAACAAGGUAUC